rnacentral:rRNA from 1 species
ACACCGGCGGCCCGAGUGGUGAUCGUGAUUAUUGGGUCUAAAGGGUCCGUAGCCGGUUUGGUCAGUCCUCCGGGAAAUCUGAUGGCUCAACCAUUAGGCUUUCGGGGGAUCCUGCCAGGCUUGGAACCGGAAGAGGUAAGAGGUACUACAGGGGUAGGAGUGAAAUCUUGUAAUCCCUGUGAGACCACCUGUGGCGAAGGCGUCUUACCAGAACGGGUUCGACGGUGAGGGACGAAAGCUGGGGGCACGAACCGGAUUAGAUACCCGGGUAGUCCCAGCCGUAAACGAUGCGCGCUAGGUGUCAAGCAUGGCGCGACCGUGUCUGGUGCCGCAGGGAAGCCGUGAAGCGAGCCACCUGGGAAGUACGGCCGCAAGGCUGAA